GAAUUGCCAUUGAUACUGUUGUUCUUGAGUUAUUGUGAAGUGGUUAGAAUGAGUAGUGUAGCGGUGAAAUGCAUAGAUAUUACUCAGAAUACCGAUUGCGAAGGCAGAUCACUAACAAUGAACUGACGCUGAUGGACGAAAGCGUAGGUAGCGAACAGGAUUAGAUACCCUGGUAGUCUACGCCGUAAACGAUGGUUACUAGCUGUUCGGGCAAAUUGAUGUCUGAGUGGCUAAGCGAAAGUGAUAAGUAACCCACCUGGGGAGUACGUUCGCAAGAAUGAAACUCAAAGGAAUUGACGGGGGCCCGCACAAGCGGUGGAGCAUGUGGUUUAAUUCGAUGAUACGCGAGGAACCUUACCAGGGCUUAAAUGCAUUUUGACAGGGGUGGAAACAU
rnacentral:rRNA from 1 species